rnacentral:rRNA from 1 species
AUCUGGCCUCAAAUCAGGUAGGACUACCCGCUGAACUUAAGCAUAUCAAUAAGCGGAGGAAAAGAAACUAACAAGGAUUCCCCUAGUAACGGCGAGUGAAGCGGGAAGAGCUCAAAUUUGAAAUCUGGUAGCCUUCGGUUGCCCGAGUUGUAAUCUAGAGAAGUGUUUUCCGUGCCGGCCCAUGUACAAGUCCCUUGGAACAGGGCGUCAUAGAGGGUGAGAAUCCCGUCCUUGACAUGGACCCCCGGUGCUUUGUGAUACACUUUCAACGAGUCGAGUUGUUUGGGAAUGCAGCUCAAAAUGGGUGGUGAAUUCCAUCUAAAGCUAAAUAUUGGCGAGAGACCGAUAGCGAACAAGUACCGUGAGGGAAAGAUGAAAAGCACUUUGGAAAGAGAGUUAAACAGUACGUGAAAUUGUUGAAAGGGAAACGAUUGAAGUCAGUCAUGCUCUUGGGACUUACCUCCCUUGAGUGGGGUCAACAUCAGUUUUGAUCGAUGGAUAAAGGCACGGGGAAGGUAGCACUCUCGGGUGAACUUAUAGCCUCGCGUCAUAUACAUUGAUUGGGACUGAGGAACGCAGCAUGCCUUAUGGCCGGGAUUCGUCCACGUACAUGCUAGGA